UAGGGAAUCUUCCGCAAUGGGCGAAAGCCUGACGGAGCAACGCCGCGUGAGUGAUGAAGGUCUUCGGAUCGUAAAACUCUGUUAUUAGGGAAGAACAAAUGUGUAAGUAACUAUGCACGUCUUGACGGUACCUAAUCAGAAAGCCACGGCUAACUACGUGCCAGCAGCCGCGGUAAUACGUAGGUGGCAAGCGUUAUCCGGAAUUAUUGGGCGUAAAGCGCGCGUAGGCGGUUUUUUAAGUCUGAUGUGAAAGCCCACGGCUCAACCGUGGAGAGUCAUUGGAAACUGGAAAACUUGAGUGCAGAAGAGGAAAGUGGAAUACCAUGUGUAGCGGUGAAAUGCGCAGAGAUAUGGAGGAACACCAGUGGCGAAGGCGACUUUCUGGUCUGUAACUGACGCUGAUGUGCGAAAGCGUGGGGAUCAAACAGG
rnacentral:rRNA from 1 species